CCUGAGCCCGGGCCGCGCAG
rnacentral:miRNA from 3 species